GCGGCGAGCUGCUUUUGUUUUUUUAGUGAGUGUGUGCUUGUAGCUUUAAUUGGUUCCUUUGGCUGGAAGGUGGGGCCUCACCGGGCAACGAAACUGGUACCGAGGCUGAGCAGACACUCUCUGCGUAGGAUCAUCAUGCCGAGCAUAAACUGGACUUUCCCACUUGCCUGGCAGGAGUGAGACAGAUCACUGUCUGCUAAAUGAGCAUCUGAGUUUCCCAAGGUCACUUGUGUUUUGGAAGCAGAUGAUCCUCCUUCUGAUGAAUUAUCAGAAGGUCAAUAGUAGCCUAAUGCUAAAUCAUAAUGCCUACAUCAUUCACCUCACUUCAUCUCAUUAUGUAGGAUUGUAUCAUCUCAUAUCAUCACAAG